GACGAACGCUGGCGGCGUGCUUAACACAUGCAAGUCGAACGGAAAGGCCCUGCUUUUGUGGGGUGCUCGAGUGGCGAACGGGUGAGUAACACGUGAGUAACCAGCCCUUGACUUUGGGAUAACUUCAGGAAACUGGGGCUAAUACCGGAUAGGAGCUCCUGCUGCAUGGUGGGGGUUGGAAAGUUUCGGCGGUUGGGGAUGGACUCGCGGCUUAUCAGCUUGUUGGUGGGGUAGUGGCUUACCAAGGCUUUGACGGGUAGCCGGCCUGAGAGGGUGACCGGGCACAUUGGGACUGAGGUACGGCCCAGACUCCUACGGGAGGCAGCAGUGGGGAAUAUUGCACAAUGGGCGGAAGCCUGAUGCAGCAACGCCGCGUGCGGGAUGACGGCCUUCGGGUUGUAAACCGCUUUCGCCUGUGACGAAGCGUGAGUGACGGUAAUGGGUAAAGAAGCACCGGCUAACUACGUG
rnacentral:rRNA from 1 species